UUUCCGUAGGUGAACCUGCGGAAGGAUCAUUCAUAAUAAAGUGUUUUAUGGCACUUUUUAAAAAUCCAUAUCCACCUUGUGUGCAAUGUUAGAUCUCGUCAAUCUUGGCGAGAUUUUUAUACAUCAACUCAUUCUUUAACUAAUUUGUCUGAAAAAUAUUAUGAAUACUUAAUUCAAAAUACAACUUUCAACAACGGAUCUCUUGGCUCUCGCAUCGAUGAGAACGCAGC
rnacentral:misc_RNA from 1 species